AUGGGCCGGGGCGAGGCGGGUGCCGGGCGCGGAGGCGUCGAGGGGCGGACGCCGCAGGGGCGAGGGCGGGUGCCGGGGGUACCGUCAGAGGCCGGGGGUGCCGGCGCAGCGCGGGUCGGCGUCCUGCUCGUAGCGGUAGUGGUAGCCCUCCAUCUGGUCGCGGCACGCCUCGCGCAGGUUGUGCAGCCAGCGCUUGAUGCCGCGGCGGUUCAGGUAGAGCACCAUGAGGAAGACGAUGCCGAUGAGCGCCAGGACGAUGCCGAAGAAGACGUAGGAGGCGGUCUCCAGCCGGCCGGGCUCGCCGCCGUCGCUGUGGGCGCAGGCCAGCGCCUCGGGGCGCAGGCGCAGCAGGGCCGUGCCGCGCAGCCCGGGCGGCCCCGCGCAGCGCAGGCUCCGCGCGUCGAGCACGCGGGCGGCGGCCGCGCGCAGCCAGGCCAGGAAGGGGCGCAGGCCGCAGUCGCAGCUCAGCGGGUUCGCGCCCAGGCUGAGGCGCAGCCCCCGCAGCUCCGGCGCGUCCAGGCUGCGCAGCUCGGCGGCCGCCAGCCGCUGCAGGGAGUUGUUCCGCAGGUCCAGCUCCUCCAGGCCGGGCGGCAGCAGGGCGGCCGGCAGCGCCUGCAGCGCGUUGCCCGCCAGCUCCAGGCGCCGCAGGCUGAGGUUGCGCAUGGCCAGGGCGAGCUGCUCCUCGAGCGGGGCCGCCAGCAGCGCCUGGUUCAGCUGCAGCGUGCGCAGCAGCGGGACCCCGGCGAAGGCGCCGGCGGCCACCGAGACCAGCGGGUUGUGGCUCAGGUCGAGGGUGCGCAGGGCGGGCAGGCCUUGCAGGGCCAUGUCCUCGAUGGUGUGGAUGUUGUCGUGGCGCAGGCGGAGCAGGCGGAGGUCGCGCAGCGGACGGGCGGCGAAGGCGGCGCGGGACAGGACGCUCAGGUUGCUGCCGGCGAUGCUGAGGUUGUGGACGGCGGCGGGCAGCUCCCUCGGGGGCUCUUCCAGCCGCUCGUAGCGGCACUGGACCAGCUCCGGGGUGGCCACGCAGUAGCAGGCGGAGGGGCAGGCGGCGGGGGCGGCGGC
rnacentral:lncRNA from 13 species